UUUUAUCAUGGUAUGCGUUAGGGAUGGAAGCGAUAUCCUUUUGCGAUGCCCGUACAUUUAAAAAUCCCUUGAAACUUCUAUCGCAAAAGAUUUAGCGGACAGCCCGACCCAAA
rnacentral:sRNA from 1 species